rnacentral:rRNA from 1 species
UACGAAGGGGGCUAGCGUUGCUCGGAAUCACUGGGCGUAAAGGGUGCGUAGGCGGGUCUUUUAAGUCAGGGGUGAAAUCCUGGAGCUCAACUCCAGAACUGCCUUUGAUACUGAGGAUCUUGAGUUCGGGAGAGGUGAGUGGAACUGUGAGUGUAGAGGUGAAAUUCGUAGAUAUUCGCAAGAACACCAGUGGCGAAGGCGCUCACUGGCCCGAUACUGACGCUGAGGCACGAAAGCCAGGGGAGCGAACGGGG